GGUGGCUCAGUGAUAGAGUGCUUGCCUUGCAUGCAUGAGGACCUGGGUUCGAUUCCUCAGCACCA
rnacentral:tRNA from 1 species